GUCUAGGGGGCUGGCCCAUCUCUCUGGCUGCUACCACAACUGUUCUUUUUCCCAAUGACAGGAAGCCAGUCUCCAUAGAAUUAUCUCUUCUGCCACUUGAGGGGAGUGCUGCUCCAGCUGAAGAGGUGGGGAAAUGGCCGAUUCCUCUGUGGGCAGAGCUAUUUCCAGAAGCCAGGCUGGCUCAAGAAGGCCGCCACAGCAGGUGCGUGUGCAUACAUAUGUGCACACGCCUAGAGAAGGCUGGCUCCCGUCCACCAGGGAGCUGACAUCCAGGAAUUAUUCACACUUGGGCCGAACAUAACCUGGAAAAAAAGAAAAAAUGAGCAGAGCAGCAUUUAUCUGAAGAACUUGAUUUUUUGGCCCAAGGACUGCUUUCUAAAUCAAGAGCAUUCAGAAAAGCACAGAACCCGGGACAUUGCUGGGCCUCUGUUACCAUUCACGGUCCUGGCCACCAUGAGGCACGAAUGGCCUCCUGAGAAUGCAGUGACAACACAGCAUAUGCCAUGCGGAUGGACC
rnacentral:lncRNA from 1 species